rnacentral:rRNA from 1 species
AGUGAACGCUGGCGGUAGGCCUAACACAUGCAAGUCGAACGGCAGCACAGUAAGAGCUUGCUCUUACGGGUGGCGAGUGGCGGAGGGGUGAGGAAUACAUCGGAAUCUACUUUUUCGUGGGGGAUAACGUAGGGAAACUUACGCUAAUACCGCAUACGACCUACGGGUGAAAGCAGGGGAUCUUCGGACCUUGCGCGAUUGAAUGAGCCGAUGUCGGAUUAGCUAGUUGGCGGGGUAAAGGCCCACCAAGGCGACGAUCCGUAGCUGGUCUGAGGGGAUGAUCAGCCACACUGGAACUGAGACACGGUCCAGACUCCUACGGGAGGCAGCAGUGGGGAAUAUUGGACAAUGGGCGCAAGCCUGAUCCAGCCAUACCGCGUGGGUGAAGAAGGCCUUCGGGUUGUAAAGCCCUUUUGUUGGGAAAGAAAAGCAGCAGGUUAAUACCCCGCUGUUCUGACGGUACCCAAAGAAUAAGCACCGGCUAACUUCGUG